GGACAUGGAACGGAUCAGGCCCCAAGGGCAUCUGCCCCCAGCAAGACAACUUCCACGCACCGUGUCAGGCGCGUAGUGGUUGAAGCAAAACAGAGGCCUUCAUCCCCUGGCCGCCGCCUCCCCACAGGGUUGUCAGGCGGGUUCCUCAGCCUCCUUCCCUGUCACUCUCACUUCUUUCCCUUUUCAGUCCGGAUUGAUUUACAGGAGCCCAGGUGUUGCCUCUGAGCCAUCCCAAGAGUGCCCUCCAUAUUUCAGGGAGUCUCCAAAUGGGUUUCUCUCUGAUGCCUUUGCAAGGAUACUGCUACUUUCAAGAUUUAUGGAAAAGACUUUUCUGAGAUUAACCAAUAAACAAAUUUUGCUUAUUUGUUUUCUGGUAAACUGGUAACAGACUGUAAUUUAGUCUACGCUCUAUGUUAAGAGAACAAAGUUUUAUUAGAAUGCAGCUUUCAAUAACAGAUUAUUAAUUUCUUUGCCUUUAAGUGAUUUAUAUUUGUUUUUUAAAUCUUUUGUUAUUUUGGUAAAGUAAAGAAGCAUUUUUUAAGGUUAUGGUACAUGUAGACAAAGCUCAUUCUGCUUCCACAAAAAAUAAGCCCUCACGGUUAAACUUUUGCUAUCCUGAUGUCCUUAAAACAUGGCAACAGUCUACUCCUAAAUGGGGGAAUUAAAAAUGGGUGAACAGUAGCUGUAAAUCAAAGAGUCAGGGCUAUGGGAAAUCCAAGACAGCUGCUUGGCUUUUCCCGGCUCCCUGACAAACCUCAUUUUUAUUUGAUGGGUUAAAGCCUUCCCUGGCUACAGGGUUAAUGCCCUCAUAAUGAAAAAAAUCAUGUUUCACUGAAUACUAAGUUUUGUACAUUGUUAAACUAAGUUUCUAGUUUUGUUAAUUAAGGUCUAGUGUUUACUAAGACUCAUUUCUGAGACAGUUACCAAUCUUCAGAUAAAGAUCAGAUGCUCUGUGAUGUACACCCAGGAGAUUAACACCAGGCUAUAGGCAUUUAACAAGUGAAGUCAGAUGACCUGGGGUAUACUGGGCUCUACCUAAUGAAGGUUCUUGACUUAAAAUCUUGCUUGUGACCUUACUAAUAACUGCUCACUAUACUAUUUUCUAUGUCACUUGUUUCAGAAGAUUGUUUCUUACAUUACCAAAUGUGUGCCUGAGCCUGUGAUAAAAUGCUGAUAUGCAGUUCCAUAUGAGAUCAAUGAUU
rnacentral:lncRNA from 1 species